AUGGAGUCAAAGGCAUUCCUGCUAUGGAUGCUGCUGCUUGAGGUUCCAGGUUCCUCUGGGGAGAUUGUGCCAACCCAGUCUCCAUCUUGGCUGUCUGUGUCUCUGGGACAAAAGGUCAGCAUCUCUUGCAAGACCAGUGAGAGUGUCAAUGCCUAUGAUGAAAAUCUUCUGCACUGGUAUCAACAGAAACCAGGACAGUCUCCCAAACUCCUCAUCUAUGUUGCAUCCAACCUAGAAUCUGGGGUCCCAGCCAGGUUCAGCGGCAGUGGGUCUGAGACAGACUUCACCCUCACCAUCAAUCCUGUGGAGGCUGAUGAUGCUGCAAUCUAUUUCUGUCAGCAGAGUAAGGAGAAUCCUCCCACAGUGCUCCAUGGUUGA